AGCAACCAGGGAACAAGCUUCCUACCGCCAAUGCAGGAGAAAAUAGCCACACAGGAGGGCAUUGCUGGCCGCAGAGCGAGGCUAGCAUGACAGCCAGCAAGCCUGAAGACUGACUACACCCCCGCCAGCUGAGCGCCAAGACUUUGUUCCUGCUGCAGAAUCUGGUCAUGGCUUUCCUGUUACCUUGUUACCAUGUUACCUGCACGUGGAGCACCAGUGUUCAUCUGAAGUUAACUUUUUCUGGUUUGUUUGACGACAAGGUCAAUAACUAAUGACAGUGAAAUAACUGAGUGAACUUCUAUGUAUAAAGAUUUCAUUGACUUACUCAUGAUCACGCUUAUCACAACUACAUUUGGUUUUGGUGCAGAUCAGCUGCCCCCAGGUGGCAAAAUAAUGGAUUACUAUAGCUUUGAGCUCCUACAAGAACCAUUUAGAUCUUUUAAUCUUGCAGAUCUUCUUUCAGUGCUAUUUAUAGCUCAGGCCUUAUUAAGUUAUGGUUAUGACUCAGAACUUGGUUUUCUUGCAUGUUAUAUAUCUCACAGUGUUUUGCAGAUUUCCAUGUUGAGCAUUAUUGUUUUUAGUUAAUAAUAAAGUCAAAUAUGAUUUUUAUUUU